AUACGUAGGUGGCAAGCGUUGUCCGGAUUUACUGGGCGUAAAGGGAGCGUGGGUGGAUAUUUAAGUGGGAUGUGAAAUACUCGGGCUUAACCUGAGUGCUGCAUUCCAAACUGGAUAUCUAGAGUGCAGGAGAGGAAAGUAGAAUUCCUAGUGUAGCGGUGUAAUGCGUAGAGAUUAGGAAGAAUACCAGUGGCGAAGGCGACUUUCUGGACUGUAACUGACACUGAGGCUCGAAAGCGUGGGGAGC
rnacentral:rRNA from 1 species